AAACCUCUUUCAGCAGGGAAGAAGCGAAAGUGACGGUACCUGCAGAAGAAGCGCCGGCUAACUACGUGCCAGCAGCCGCGGUAAUACGUAGGGCGCAAGCGUUGUCCGGAAUUAUUGGGCGUAAAGAGCUCGUAGGCGGUUUGUCGCGUCUGCUGUGAAAACGCGAGGCUCAACCUCGCGCCUGCAGUGGGUACGGGCAGACUAGAGUGCGGUAGGGGAGACUGGAAUUCCUGGUGUAGCGGUGGAAUGCGCAGAUAUCAGGAGGAACACCGGUGGCGAAGGCGGGUCUCUGGGCCGUAACUGACGCUGAGGAGCGAAAGCAUGGGGAGCGAACAGGAUUAGAUACCUUGGUAGUCA
rnacentral:rRNA from 1 species